CUCCCCUUGUUUUGGCUUCCUGAUAGAAAUUGGGUUAAGUUGUCCCAAACAAAUUUAUAAUACUUUAUUUUAUUUUAUUUGCAUGUUAAGCCUUAAUUUUGGUUUUGAUUAUUGGUUUGAGAACAGCGAGACUUACUAUUGGCCUCGGGGGCUUUAUGCUGAUCCAAGUCCUAGUGCCGGUCUGACUCAGAAAUAAGAUAAAUGAUGGAGAUUAUGGAGCCAAUGCCACUGGACUAUUCAAAGGACCAACCACAAGGGCAAGGGCCAAGGCACUACAAAGGCUAGUUCAAACUUAUUGUAGCAAAGAACUUGAAAAUAGAGAGCUCAACAUGAUAAGGGAACUCAAAUGGUGAUUCUUGCUCAAGUAUUUAAGGAUGAAGGUCACCAAGUGUCAUGCUAAACAAACCCACCUUUUCGAGCGCUGAAAGUGCCAAAAUUCGUCAAUUUCUUCAAGAGGCCUAAGCUUUCACGGCUUUGGCUUGCAAGGGAAGCUUCAGCACGGCAUGGGUGUAUUUUCAUAGAAGAAAGCAUCUGAAAAUUUGGGCUGUAGGAGGCAACAUGCCCCGGGCGUGUGAUGAGGGAAGAAAACAUGGCCUAGGAUGUAUUUUGCUAAAAACCACAAUUUUGCUUAUUUUGCCAAGGGUUACACACCCUGUGCAUGUAAAUAAGUGAGGCACAUGCUCUGGGCAUGCGGACUUUGUAGCCUACAUUUUAGACGAUUUUAUUUUGGUUUUUUUGUAAUUAUUUUGAUGUUUUUAUAGGGUUUUAUGAUGUAUUAGCAGCCACCUAUAAAUACCUUAUGUUGCUAAUGUUUUUGACAGCUUUUUGAUUAUCAAUUAAACAUUGAGAGAGUUUUCUCCUC